rnacentral:rRNA from 1 species
AAGGAAUAUUGGGCAAUGGACGCAAGUCUGACCCAGCCAUGCCGCGUGCAGGAUGAAGGCCCUAUGGGUUGUAAACUGCUUUUGUACGGGAAGAAACUUCCGCACGUGUGCGGAAUUGACGGUACCGUGCGAAUAAGCACCGGCUAACUCCGUGCCAGCAGCCGCGGUAAUACGGAGGGUGCAAGCGUUAUCCGGAUUCAUUGGGUUUAAAGGGUGCGCAGGCGGAAUGAUAAGUCAGUGGUGAAAUCCUACAGCUCAACUGUAGAACUGCCAUUGAUACUGUCGUUCUUGAGUAUAGUUGAAGUGGGUGGAAUGUAUCAUGUAGCGGUGAAAUGCAUAGAUAUGAUACAGAACUCCGAUAGCGAAGGCAACUCACUAAACUAUAACUGACGCUCAUGCACGAAAGCGUGGGGAGCAAAC